rnacentral:piRNA from 1 species
UNGGAAAUUGGCCAAUGGACUCAAAGG